rnacentral:rRNA from 1 species
UAAUACGGGGGGUGCAAGCGUUAUUCGGAAUCAUUGGGCGUAAAGAGCGUGUAGGCGGCCCUUUAAGUCAGAUGUGAAAGCCCGGGGCUUAACCCCGGAAGUGCAUUUGAAACUAUUGGGCUUGAGUAUGGGAGAGGGAAGUGGAAUUCCUGGUGUAGAGGUGAAAUUCGUAGAUAUCAGGAGGAACACCGGUGGCGAAGGCGGCUUCCUGGACCAAUACUGACGCUGAGGCGCGAAGGCGUGGGGAGCAAACAGGAUUAGAUACCCUGGUAGUCCACGCAGUAAACGUUGAACACUAGGUGUAGCGGGUAUUGACCCCUGCUGUGCCGCAGUUAACGCAUUAAGUGUUCCGCCUGGGGAGUACGACCGCAAGGUUA